AGCGAACGCUGGCGGCAGGCCUAACACAUGCAAGUCGAACGGACCCUUCGGGGUUAGUGGCGGACGGGUGAGUAACACGUGGGAACGUGCCUUUAGGCUCGGAAUAGCUCCUGGAAACGGGUGGUAAUGCCGAAUGUGCCCUUCGGGGGAAAGAUUUAUCGCCUUUAGAGCGGCCCGCGUCUGAUUAGCUAGUUGGUGAGGUAAAGGCUCACCAAGGCGACGAUCAGUAGCUGGUCUGAGAGGAUGACCAGCCACAUUGGGACUGAGACACGGCCCAAACUCCUACGGGAGGCAGCAGUGGGGAAUCUUGCGCAAUGGGCGAAAGCCUGACGCAGCCAUGCGGCGUGAAUGAUGAAGGUCUUAGGAUUGUAAAAUUCUUUCCCCGGGGACGAUAUGACGGUACCCGGAGAAGAAGCCCCGGCUAACUUCGUGCCAGCCGCCGCCGUAACAC
rnacentral:rRNA from 1 species